CGGCUGUAGCUAUAAUAGAGAAGUUAACUGGCCGGUUAUCGUGCUUAAUUUGAAAAUUUCAAGCUUCCGUCGGUUAAUCUGCUUACCGAGCUUCGUACAUUU
rfam:Gossypium raimondii Chr11_contig_11, whole genome shotgun sequence.